rnacentral:tRNA from 1 species
GCCUGGCUGGCUUAGUCAGCAGAGCAUGUGACUGUUCAUCUCAAGGUCGUGAGUUCAAGUCCCGCGUGGGGUU